UUCGCCAUUUGAGGGCGAUCUGCUAAACACGUCCGCGCGCAGGUCCGGAUAGCACCCGGGCCCGCUCCUUUCAGGAGUGUCCCUGCGCG
rfam:Synechococcus sp. WH 8102 complete genome.